rnacentral:rRNA from 1 species
AAACCAACUGGGACUACCUUAGUAACGGCGAGUGAAGCGGUAAAAGCUCAAAUUUGAAAUCUGGUACUUUCAGUGCCCGAGUUGUAAUUUGUAGAAUUUGUCUUUGAUUAGGUCCUUGUCUAUGUUCCUUGGAACAGGACGUCAUAGAGGGUGAGAAUCCCGUUUGGCGAGGAUACCUUUUCUCUGUAAGACUUUUUCGAAGAGUCGAGUUGUUUGGGAAUGCAGCUCAAAGUGGGUGGUAAAUUCCAUCUAAAGCUAAAUAUUGGCGAGAGACCGAUAGCGAACAAGUACAGUGAUGGAAAGAUGAAAAGAACUUUGAAAAGAGAGUGAAAAAGUACGUGAAAUUGUUGAAAGGGAAGGGCAUUUGAUCAGACAUGGUGUUUUGCGCCCUUUGCUCCGUUGUGGGCGGAGGAUACGCAGCUCACUGGGCCAACAUCAGUUUUGGGAGCAGGAUAAAUCUGUAGGAACGUGCUUUCUUCGGGAAUGUUAUAGCCUAUGGGAAUACUGCUACCUGGGA